GACGAACGCUGGCGGCGUGCUUAACACAUGCAAGUCGAACGGAAAGGCCCUGCUUUUGUGGGGUGCUCGAGUGGCGAACGGGUGAGUAACACGUGAGUAACCUGCCCUUGACUUUGGGAUAACUUCAGGAAACUGGGGCUAAUACCGGAUAGGAGCUCCUGCUGCAUGGUGGGGGUUGGAAAGUUUCGGCGGUUGGGGAUGGACUCGCGGCUUAUCAGCUUGUUGGUGGGGUAGUGGCUUACCAAGGCUUUGACGGGUAGCCGGCCUGAGAGGGUGACCGGCCACAUUGGGACUGAGAUACGGCCCAGACUCCUACGGGAGGCAGCAGUGGGGAAUAUUGCACAAUGGGCGGAAGCCUGAUGCAGCAACGCCGCGUGCGGGAUGACGGCCUUCGGGUUGUAAACCGCUUUCGCCUGUGACGAAGCGUGAGUGACGGUAAUGGGUAAAGAAGCACCGGCUAACUACGUGCCAGCCGCCG
rnacentral:rRNA from 1 species